UACGUAGGGUGCAAGCGUUGUCCGGAAUUAUUGGGCGUAAAGGGCUCGUAGGCGGUCUGUCACGUCGGGAGUGAAAACUCAGGGCUUAACCCUGAGCCUGCUUCCGAUACGGGCAGACUAGAGGUAUGCAGGGGAGAACGGAAUUCCUGGUGUAGCGGUGAAAUGCGUAGAUAUCUGGAGGAACACCGGUGGCGAAGGCGGCAUCCUGGACCAACACUGACGCUGAUGAGCGAAAGCCAGGGGAGCAAACGGG
rnacentral:rRNA from 1 species